CCUACGGGUGGCAGCAGUGGGGGAUAUUGCACAAUGGGGGAAACCCUGAUGCAGCGACGCCGCGUGUGGGAAGACGGUCCUCUGGAUUGUAAACCACUGUCCCCAGGGACGAAUAUGACGGUACCGGGGGAGGAAGCUCCGGCUAACAACGUUCCAGCAGCCGCGGUAAGACGUAGGGAGCGAGCGUUGUCCGGAAUUACUGGGUGUAAAGGGAGCGUAGGGGGGACUGGUAGUUGGGUGUAAAAUCUACCGGCUCAACCGGGAGCCGCACUUAAAACUGCAGUUCUUGAGUGAAGUAGAGGCAGGCGGAAGUCGUAGUGUAGCGGUGAAAUGCGUAGAUAUUAGGAGGAACACCAGUGGCGAAGGCGGCCUGCUGGGCUUUUACUGACGCUGAGGCUCGAAAGUGUGGGGAGCAAACAGGAUUAGAUACCCUGGUAGUC
rnacentral:rRNA from 1 species